rnacentral:rRNA from 1 species
GACGAACGCUGGCGGCGUGCUUAACACAUGCUAGUCGAACGGAAAGGCCCUGCUUUUGUGGGGUGCUCGAGUGGCGAACGGGUGAGUAACACGUGAGUAACCUGCCCUUGACUUUGGGAUAACUUCAGGAAACUGGGGCUAAUACCGGAUAGGAGCUCCUGCUGCAUGGUGGGGGUUGGAAAGUUUCGGCGGUUGGGGAUGGACUCGCGGCUUAUCAGCUUGUUGGUGGGGUAGUGGCUUACCAAGGCUUUGACGGGUAGCCGGCCUGAGAGGGUGACCGGCCACAUUGGGACUGAGAUACGGCCCAGACUCCUACGGGAGGCAGCAGUGGGGAAUAUUGCACAAUGGGCGGAAGCCUGAUGCAGCAACGCCGCGUGCGGGAUGACGGCCUUCGGGUUGUAAACCGCUUUCGCCUGUGACGAAGCGUGAGUGACGGUAAUGGGUAAAGAAGCACCGGCUAACCACGUGCCAGCAGCCGCGGUGAUACGUAGGGUGCGAGCGUUGUCCGGAUUUAUUGGGCGUAAAGGGCUCGUAGGUGGUUGAUCGCGUCGGAAGUGUAAUCUUGGGGCUUAACCCUGAGCGUGCUUUCGAUGCGGGUUGACUUGAGGAAGGUAGGGGAGAAUGGAAUUCCUGGUGGAGCGGUGGAAUGCGCAGAUAUCAGGAGGAACACCAGUGGCGAAGGCGGUUCUCUGGGCCUUUCCUGACGCUGAGGAGCGAAAGCGUGGGGAGCGAACAGGCUUAGAUACCCUGGUAGUCCACGCUGUAAACGGUGGGUACUAGGUGUGGGGUCCAUUCCACGGGUUCCGUGCCGUAGCUAACGCUUUAAGUACCCCGCCUGGGGAGUACGGCCGCAAGGCUAAAACUCAAAGGAAUUGACGGGGCCCCGCACAAGCGGCGGAGCAUGCGGAUUAAUUCGAUGCAACGCGUAGAACCUUACCUGGGUUUGACAUGGAUCGGGAGUGCUCAGAGAUGGGUGUGCCUCUUUUGGGGUCGGUUCACAGGUGGUGCAUGCCUGUCGUCAGCUCGUGUCGUGAGAUGUUGGGUUAAGUCCCGCAACGAGCGCAACCCUUGUUCACUGUUGCCAGCACGUUAUGGUGGGGACUCAGUGGAGACCGCCGGGGUCAACUCGGAGGAAGGUGGGGAUGACGUCAAGUCAUCAUGCCCCUUAUGUCCAGGGCUUCACGCAUGCUACAAUGGCUGGUACAGAGAGUGGCGAGCCUGUGAGGGUGAGCGAAUCUCGGAAAGCCGGUCUCAGCUCGGAUUGGGGUCUGCAACUCGACCUCAUGAAGUCGGAGUCGCUAGUAAUCGCAGAUCAGCAACGCUGCGGUGAAUACGUUCCCGGG